rfam:Meloidogyne hapla strain VW9 Mh10g200708_Contig157, whole genome shotgun sequence.
CAUAAGGCUCUCUUUAGAGCCACAAAUUUAAUGAGUGAAACGAGA